CCCUGAUGUUAGCGGCGGACGGGUGAGUAACACGUGGGUAACCUGCCUGUAAGACUGGGAUAACUCCGGGAAACCGGGGCUAAUACCGGAUGGUUGUUUGAACCGCAUGGUUCAAACAUAAAAGGUGGCUUCGGCUACCACUUACAGAUGGACCCGCGGCGCAUUAGCUAGUUGGUGAGGUAACGGCUCACCAAGGCAACGAUGCGUAGCCGACCUGAGAGGGUGAUCGGCCACACUGGGACUGAGACACGGCCCAGACUCCUACGGGAGGCAGCAGUAGGGAAUCUUCCGCAAUGGACGAAAGUCUGACGGAGCAACGCCGCGUGAGUGAUGAAGGUUUUCGGAUCGUAAAGCUCUGUUGUUAGGGAAGAACAAGUACCGUUCGAAUAGGGCGGUACCUUGACGGUACCUAACCAGAAAGCCACGGCUAACUACGUGCCAGCAGCCGCGGUAAUACGUAGGUGGCAAGCGUUGUCCGGAAUUAUUGGGCGUAAAGGGCUCGCAGGCGGUUUCUUAAGUCUGAUG
rnacentral:rRNA from 1 species